rnacentral:rRNA from 1 species
AUGAACGCUAGCGACAGGCUUAACACAUGCAAGUCGAGGGGCAGCAUGAUUUGUAGCAAUACAGAUUGAUGGCGACCGGCGCACGGGUGAGUAACGCGUAUGCAACUUACCUAUCAGAGGGGGAUAGCCCGGCGAAAGUCGGAUUAAUACCCCAUAAAACAGGGGUCCCGCAUGGGAUAUUUGUUAAAGAUUCAUCGCUGAUAGAUAGGCAUGCGUUCCAUUAGGCAGUUGGCGGGGUAACGGCCCACCAAACCGACGAUGGAUAGGGGUUCUGAGAGGAAGGUCCCCCACAUUGGUACUGAGACACGGACCAAACUCCUACGGGAGGCAGCAGUGAGGAAUAUUGGUCAAUGGCCGAGAGGCUGAACCAGCCAAGUCGCGUGAAGGAAGAAGGAUCUAUGGUUUGUAAACUUCUUUUAUAGGGGAAUAAAGUGGAGGACGUGUCCUUUUUUGUAUGUACCCUAUGAAUAAGCAUCGGCUAACUCCGUGCCAGCAGCCGCGGUAAUACGGAGGAUGCGAGCGUUAUCCGGAUUUAUUGGGUUUAAAGGGUGCGUAGGUGGUGAUUUAAGUCAGCGGUGAAAGUUUGUGGCUCAACCAUAAAAUUGCCGUUGAAACUGGGUUACUUGAGUGUGUUUGAGGUAGGCGGAAUGCGUGGUGUAGCGGUGAAAUGCAUAGAUAUCACGCAGAACUCCGAUUGCGAAGGCAGCUUACUAAACCAUAACUGACACUGAAGCACGAAAGCGUGGGGAUCAAACAGGAUUAGAUACCCGGGUAGUCCACGCAGUAAACGAUGAUUACUAGGAGUUUGCGAUACAAUGUAAGCUCUACAGCGAAAGCGUUAAGUAAUCCACCUGGGGAGUACGCCGGCAACGGUGAAACUCAAAGGAAUUGACGGGGGCCCGCACAAGCAGUGGAGUAUGUGGUUUAAUUCGAAGCAACGCGAAGAACCUUACCAGGUCUUGACAUCCGAUGCAUAGUGCAGAGAUGCAUGAAGUCCUUCGGGACAUCGAGACAGGUGGUGCAUGGUUGUCGUCAGCUCGUGCCGUGAGGUGUCGGCUUAAGUGCCAUAACGAGCGCAACCCUUAUCACUAGUUACUAACAGGUGAAGCUGAGGACUCUGGUGAGACUGCCAGCGUAAGCUGUGAGGAAGGUGGGGAUGACGUCAAAUCAGCACGGCCCUUACAUCCGGGGCGACACACGUGUUACAAUGGCAUGGACAAAGGGCAGCUACCUGGUGACAGGAUGCUAAUCUCCAAACCAUGUCUCAGUUCGGAUCGGAGUCUGCAACUCGACUCCGUGAAGCUGGAUUCGCUAGUAAUCGCGCAUCAGCCAUGGCGCGGUGAAUACGUUCCCGGGCCUUGUACACACCGCCCGUCACACCAUGGGAGUGGGUUGCAAAAGAAGUAGGUAGCUUAACCUUCGGGAGGGCGCUUACCACUUUGUGAUUCAUGACUGGGGUG